GUGUCAGCAGCCGCGGUAAUACGGAGGGUGCAAGCGUUGUUCGGAUUUAUUGGGCGUAAAGCGCGUGUAGGCGGUUUCUUAAGUCUGAUGUGAAAGCCCUGGGCUCAACCCAGGAAGUGCAUUGGAUACUGGGAGACUUGAAUACGGGAGAGGGUAGUGGAAUUCCUAGUGUAGGAGUGAAAUCCGUAGAUAUUAGGAGGAACACCGGUGGCGAAGGCGGCUACCUGGACCGAUAUUGACGCUGAGACGCGAAAGCGUGGGGAGCAAACAGGAUUAGAAACCCUCGUAGUCC
rnacentral:rRNA from 1 species